UUUCCUAUCUCACUCAGCCACCGAAGCCCACACAAAUACACACUCUAGCUCCCUCUAUCUCUCUCACUCCCUCACCAGUAAACCAGCCAUCCACCACCAUGUUUGGCGGAUUUCACUGGAGAACCCCAUUAGAAACCCCAUACGCUCCAUUCUCUCAAAGCUUUAAAGGUUCCAAUAUUCUUGGUGAUGGACCUAGUGACUGGAUUAGUUGAUUUUGUGGUACCCAGUGGAGGUAAAAUUGGUUGGCCUUCCAAGGUAAGUAGCUUUUUAAUGGGAUUUUUGGAAAAUAACUAUGUUUUAUAAAUGUUGUUUUUGGGGUCAAACACAUUUUGGAAAAUUAUAUAUGGAUAUAUGUUUUCUUAAAAGUAUUGUGUUGUGACCCUAUUAUAUAUGAUUAUAUAUGAAAAUGCAUCAUAUUUGGUAUUGUAUUUGGGGAAAUGCAUGAAUUGUUGAUAUGGAAAAAAUGAGCAUCUUUUAUUUAAUCUUUGAUAAGGAAAUCUUGGAUGUUAUGGUAUAUUAGAAAAUUUAAAGAUGCUUAUCUUGUCUUGUUAUGUGGAAAAUUGUUAGAAAAUCUUUUGACAAGAAUGAUGUUGAAAACCUUACAAACCUUGUGGAAGUUAGAUUUUUUAAGGUUUUUCUGAAACUACCUAGAUAUGAACUAUAUGUUUCAAAGUAAUGUAACCUGUGAGUUGUUUUAACACCAUGCCAUGUGUGAUUUCCCGGUGAUCACCCGAUUUGGUUUUCGUAGUCUUUGUGAUAAUGGAAUCAGAUUUAGGUCAGUGCCCUUUCACUUUGGAUGACGCGUUCUUCCCUGCUGCCCAUGGGGGGAAGAGGUUCCUUGAUUGUGUGUGGGUGAGGCUGUUGCCCAUGGGGCCAAGAGACCACAUGCAAGAGAGGUCCUAUAUGACGCGCUCUCUUUGUUGCCCAUGGGGGGAGAGAAAAACCUUGAGGGUAUGGGUGAGGCUACUAUCUAUGGGGCCAAGAGUCUGCAUACCAGAGAGGACAAUAUCAUACCAGUUGUGAAUGGGUGGAUCCCCUGACUAAUCUAUGUGCUAGUAUGGUAGAUUUGUGAUAAAAUUACCAUAAAUUCUCUAUACCUCGGGCAUGGAGCUUGUUUUGUUGGUGGUGAUUGGAGCAUUAUGCUAAGUGAGAGAUUUAUGCUAUGAUUGGUUGGUGACUCAAUCUUGCAAAGUUCAAUGAGAUCAUAAUCAAUUCGAUUGGAGGUUGGAUACUUCAGGUCUGUUAGCCUUGGGUGUGGUAGGCCUAGAUUUUCUAUUGAGGUUGCAUACCUUAGAAAGGAUCAUGACUUUGUGUUUAUUUUAUUUGGAACGUUGGAUUGUUAAGUGUAUUUGGAGACACAUGAUUGUAGUUUGUUUUGCUUGUAAAUGUGUCAUAGAGCUCUGACUUGUAUUGUGGAGAGAUCAAUAUAUUUAUUUAUUUUAUCAAAUGGAAGAAAAAAAAAAUCUCCUACAUUCUCACUUUUAAUGGUUCUUCCCUCGCGCUUUGGAUCCUUUUGGGUUUGGGGCGUGACAGCAACCAUC